rnacentral:rRNA from 1 species
UGGGGAAUAUUGGACAAUGGGCGCAAGCCUGAUCCAGCCAUGCCGCGUGAGUGAUGAAGGCCCUAGGGUUGUAAAGCUCUUUCACCGGUGAAGAUAAUGACGGUAACCGGAGAAGAAGCCCCGGCUAACUUCGUGCCAGCAGCCGCGGUAAUACGAAGGGGGCUAGCGUUGUUCGGAUUUACUGGGCGUAAAGCGCACGUAGGCGGACUUUUAAGUCAGGGGUGAAAUCCCGGGGCUCAACCCCGGAACUGCCUUUGAUACUGGAAGUCUUGAGUAUGGUAGAGGUGAGUGGAAUUCCGAGUGUAGAGGUGAAAUUCGUAGAUAUUCCGAGGAACACCAGUGGCGAAGGCGGCUCACUGGACCAUUACUGACGCUGAGGUGCGAAAGCGUGGGGAGCAAACAGG